UCGCGGCCUAUCAGCUUGUUGGUGAGGUAAUGGCUCACCAAGGCGACGACGGGUAGCCGGCCUGAGAGGGUGACCGGCCACACUGGGACUGAGACACGGCCCAGACUCCUACGGGAGGCAGCAGUGGGGAAUAUUGCACAAUGGGCGCAAGCCUGAUGCAGCAACGCCGCGUGGGGGACGAAGGCCUUCGGGUUGUAAACCCCUUUUAGCAGGGAAGAAGCGCAAGUGACGGUACCUGCAGAAAAAGCACCGGCUAACUACGUGCCAGCAGCCGCGGUAAUACGUAGGGUGCAAGCGUUGUCCGGAAUUAUUGGGCGUAAAGAGCUCGUAGGCGGUGUGUCGCGUCUGCUGUGAAAAUCCAAGGCUCAACCUUGGGCCUGCAGUGGGUACGGGCACACUAGAGUGCGGUAGGGGAGAUUGGAAUUCCUGGUGUAGCGGUGGAAUGCGCAGAUAUCAGGAGGAACACCGAUGGCGAAGGCAGUUCUCUGGGCCGUUACUGACGCUGAGGAGCGAAAGCGUGGGGAGCGAACAGGAUUAGAUACCCUGGUAGUCCACGCCGUAAACGGUGGGAACUAGAUGUGGGGUCCGUUCCACGGAUUCCGUGUCGCAGCUAACGCAUUAAGUUCCCCGCCUGGGGAGUACGG
rnacentral:rRNA from 1 species